AUUACUUACCAGGAGCCAUCUCAGGCAGGCUGGGUUUUACUUUGUGUCUUCGUCCAUUCAGGGUGCGGUAAGAAAGUACCAUAAACUGGGUGGCUUAAACAACUUAUGCUUAUUUCUCACAGUUCUGGAGGCUGGGAAAUCUGAGAUCAAUGUUCUGGCAGAUCUAGUGUCUGGUGAGGGCCCUCUUCCUGGUUUGCAGAUAGCUGCCUUCUCGUUGUACCCUUACAGGGUAGAGAACAGAGAAACAGAGAGGCAGAAAGAGAGAGAGAGAGAGAGAAUGAGAAAGAGAGCACUCUCAUGUCUGUUCUUCUAAGGGCACUCAUCCUGUCAUGAGGACUCCACUCUAAUAAACUAAUUUCCUCCCAAAGGCCCCAUCUCCAAAUACCAUCACACUGGGAAUUUUAGGGUUUCAAGAUGUGAAUUUGGAGGUGACACAUUCAGUCCAUAGUACUUUGUUUUAGAAUUUUCUCUCCAGACAUGAGUCUGACAGCACAUACCCCUGCUGAUGUGGAGGAAGAGUGGUAGACAGUUGUGGCCCCACCCUUUGAAACCAAGGAUGCAGCCCUGAUGAAUCACCUUUGAAGUCAUUCUUUCCUUUUCUUGAAGAAUAGUUCCUGUUUGCAGUCAAAUCGCUCUAUCGUAACUGUCCUAUAGAAUUUAAAUCUGACAGCCUUUCUUCAUUUUGUCCUGUCUCCAUCUUCUUCAGUUCAAACUGACAGUAUUUCUGCUGAUAUAAUUCUAUAACCUUUGUUAUCAAGUGAUAGUCUAGCCACACUCUUGGUGUCCUCUUCCAAACAUGCCUUCACAUAUUUUGCAAUAUGGGCAGGCUGAAGAUUUUCCAAAUCUUUAAGCUCUGGUUCCUUUUUGCAUAACAAUUUCUUCUUCAAUUCAUUUCUCACUUCUUACAUUUUACUAAGCAAGAGGAACCAAGACACUCCUGUAGCACUUGGCUUAGAAAUCUGCAUAGCUAAAUAUCUAGUUUCAUCGCUUCCAAGUUCUGCCUUUCACAAAACACUAGGACACAACUCAGACAAUUUCUGUGACAUUUUAUGACCAGAAUCACGUUUCCUCCAGUUUCCAAUAAUUUAUGUUCCUCUUUCCAUCUGAGAUCUCCUCAGAAUGGCCUUUAACACCUGGUAUUUCUGCCAACAGUCCCUUCAUGACUGUCUAGGUUUUUUUCUAGCAUGCACCUCAAAACUCUUCUGACCUCUAUCUACCUUGUACCCAGUUUUAAAGCCUCUUCCACAUUUUCAAGUAUAGUUUGCAACACACCCCAUUCUGUAUACCAAAAUCUGUAUUAAUUAGCUUGGGCUGCCAUCACAAAAUACCACAGACUGAUGGCAUAAACAACAGAAACUUAUUUUCUCCCAAUUCUGAAGGCUGAAAGUCAAGAUCACAGUACCAGCCUGACUGGUUUCUGUUGAGGGCCCUCUUCCUGGCUUGCAGACGGUUGCCUUCUUGCUAUGUCCUCACAUGGUGGAGAGAAAAGGAGAGCUAUCCAGUGACCUUUCUUAUAAGGACACUAAUCCUAUCAGACCAUGGCCUUACCCUUAUGACCACAUGUGACUACAAUUACUUCUCAUUACAGAACAGAAUAUUUAAGAGGCUACAAGAAAUUGAAUCAACAUAUAUUGCUGAGCAGCUGCAUGUGGAAAAGGAAGGGUGAGGAAUUAAGAAACGUAGGCACGUUUUUGACUUGGGUGGCCAGGUGGCUGGUGUUGUCAUUCCUGGAGACUGGGACUACAGGAGGAGAAAUAGGGUUGAAGGAAGAUGGAAGAGAAAAAAUGAGAUGCCUAGUGUUGAUCUAUGACAGUUAAUCUGACAGACAAAAAUCACUUACCCCUUGGAGCUUAUAUUCUUGGAAAGGUGGAGAGAGGAAAGACAGACCAAUAAACAAAUGAAUAUAUAAAAUGUUAGCUGCCUCUACAGGUAUUAUCAAAGAGAAGAUGAGAACCUUGAACUGAGAGGACCUCACAAGCCUGUAGUGAAGGAAGACCCUGUUGCCAAGAUGAGGCAGGUCUUUCAGGAAGUAUUCCAAACAAAGGCAUUGUUAUCCUAGAAGAUGACAGCUCCAUGCAUGUUAUUAUCCCUGAAAUCCUUCCAGUGGGACAAGAUAUGGAAAUGGAAGACAGUGAUAUUGAUGAUCCUGAUGCUGUGUAGGCCUAGGUGCAGACGGUGGAGUUAAUCAUUCUCCUCAGUUCCUACUUGGUGAAUGUUUCAUGCAUCCGUGUGAAGAGAGUCCACCAAACAGGCUUUGUGUCUUUACCUCUCAACUGAACCCUGAACUCCUGGAGAAUAGAUGCUGUCGGGAAAUCACCAGCUUCUCACAAAGCAAUGAUCGUUGAAUAAAUCCUUGUUAAAUAAUGACAGUUUUCCUUUUUGGAUUGCUGUGAUCUCUACUCCCAUCACGACUGCUAAGCCUUGGGCAGGAGACCUUGUAUUCCCAGCCAGCUAUUCUUCCCACCGCCAUCCGUAGUUGGUCUCACUAUGUUGUGCAGGCUGGCCUCAAACUCCUGGGCUCAAGGGAUCUUCUCAUCUCAUCCUUCCAAAGGGCUGCGAUUACAAGUCUGUUUUAGGCACAUCUUGUAUCCCUCUUGCCUCAACUCUGGAAUUGGUUACCACUACUUCUGAACUGGGUGGCAGCUACAGACAGAGGUGGUAAGGGAGUAAUUGCUUAGGAUUGGACUGAGCUGAAGAAUGUUUAGCCUGGCGGUACUAGUGCAACUGGAAGAACAGAUGAACCAUAGUUUGCAACACAAAGCCAAGUCAACCAACAGAAGAAAUAUAUAUUUUAAGAAGAUUUUAUAUUUUCAACUGAAAACGUUCAUGUCAGUUGUGAAUGUAUUUGUAAUUGGCAGCCCCAAAUCAUCUCCCUUUUUAUUUUUGAGAAAGUGUAGUGUGCUUUAGUAUUUGGAACAUUCAUUUAAACCUAUUAAAUUAUAUUUUAAAAUGCACUGUUCCCAUUUCAAUCAAAAUUGGUUUUAUACUAUAUAUUGUAACACUAAAGUGCUUCUGGUAAUUUGCUUGUAAAACCAAAACUCUUUUAAAUUUAUCCACUUGUCCCUUUCAGAAAUGACGUGUUUGUGCAUAGGACUUGUUAGUAUUCUGAUUCAAACAAAACUACAGUACAUGUAAAAACAUAUUUAUAGAACAUAAAUAAGAAAAUGUGAACCCUGAAGAAUAUUUGAUGGAACUAAUGGACUAUUCUAAUUUUUAUGUGUGAAAAUGAUAAUGUGAUUUUUUAAAAGAGUCCUUCUUUUUUAGACAUGCACACUGAAAUAAUUAUAGAUGAAAUUAUGCAAUGUCUGUGAUUUGUUUCAAAAUAGUCUGGUGCUUAGGGAGAGAGAAGUGGGUGGGGAGAGAGAUGAAAUAAGCUUAGUUAUGAGUUGGUAAUUGUUGAAGCUGGGUCCUAUAUAUAUAUGGGGGUAAGGUCAUAUUCUAUUCUACUUUUGCAUAGAUUUGAAAUUUUUCAUAAUAAAAAGUUAAAAACAAAUCACACACCAAAAAAACUCCCAAACCCAACUGUCAUUAUUUAAUAACUUUGAACUUGGUAUGGACCUAAGAAGGCAUCUUUUACAAGGGAAAUGUGCAGUUCCAAGUCUUUUUCUUGAUGAUUGGGUCUGAAUGUGUUAAUCAAUGCUGCCCUGUCAUAGCCCCGACAUAGGGAAAAUGCUGAAAUGUGAUUUUUAAAUCAUAAAAAUGUGCCCAUAGUAAUAGCUCCAUCUUUUGCACAAUAUUUAAAUCAAUUCAUUGAUUUCCAGUUGCCUGAUAUUCUUAUUUCAGUAACAAAAUAAACGAUACAUAGUUCAGUAAAGUUGAAUCCAUUUGGGUUCAUUUGUGCUCGAAGUCUGAAGCCAAGUAAGAUCUGCUUCUUAGCUGCAUGUCAGGGGAUAAGGCAUCAGUCUCUUUGUAAGGCUUGGUUUCCUUUUUUUUCUUUUAUCGUACAGUUUCUAACCACGUUCAUGAAUAGAUAAAUUAAGGACAAAAUACAUCUAUAUCCCUCCUUGGCUCUUUGUUUAUUUGCAUAUACAGAAUUACUAAUAUAGUCCAUGUCUGUAAAUGUCUUAAAAAUGUCUCCAUUAAAAAAAUCCAGAAAAAUGA